UUCUCAUCAUUCACCGAUUUUAAUGGUGAAAAUGGUGGUUAAAUGGUGGAUGAGGGAAGAGUUUUUUUGGUUCGGCUGAAGGGGGAAGGAAGGAGGCUUUAGUUUUUUUUUUGCUUUGAUUCUUUUUCAAGUGGCUGAGUGUUAGUCUAGGUUUUUUAGUUUUGAGUUAUUAGUGUGACAGCCCAAAAUUGACCCUAGUCGGGAAGUGGUUUCG
rnacentral:lncRNA from 1 species